rnacentral:rRNA from 1 species
GACGAACGCUGGCGGCGUGCCUAAUACAUGCAAGUCGAACGCUUCUUUCCUCCCGAGUGCUUGCACUCAAUUGGAAAGAGGAGUGGCGGACGGGUGAGUAACACGUGGGUAACCUACCCAUCAGAGGGGGAUAACACUUGGAAACAGGUGCUAAUACCGCAUAACAGUUUAUGCCGCAUGGCAUAAGAGUGAAAGGCGCUUUCGGGUGUCGUUGAUGGAUGGACCCGCGGUGCAUUAGCUAGUUGGUGAGGUAACGGCUCACCAAGGCCACGAUGCAUAGCAGACCUGAGAGGGUGAUCGGCCACACUGGGACUGAGACACGGCCCAGACUCCUACGGGAGGCAGCAGUAGGGAAUCUUCGGCAAUGAACGAAAGUCUGACCGAGCAAAGCCGCGUGAGUGAAGAAGGUUUUCGGAUCGUAAAACUCUGUUGUUAGAGAAGAACAAGGACGUUAGUAACUGAACGUCCCCUGACGGUAUCUAACCAGAAAGCCACGGCUAACUACGUG